rnacentral:tRNA from 1 species
CAUUAAGAAGCUAUGAAUCAGCGCUAGCCUUUUAAGCUGGAGAAAGGGGAACACACAUCCCCCUUAAUGA